GAUGAACGCUGGCGGCGUGCCUAAUACAUGCAAGUCGAGCGAAUGGAUUAAGAGCUUGCUCUUAUGAAGUUAGCGGCGGACGGGUGAGUAACACGUGGGUAACCUGCCCAUAAGACUGGGAUGACUCCGGGAAACCGGGGCUAAUACCGGAUAACAUUUUGAACCGCAUGGUUCGAAAUUGAAAGGCGGCUUCGGCUGUCACUUAUGGAUGGACCCGCGUCGCAUUAGCUAGUUGGUGAGGUAACGGCUCACCAAGGCAACGAUGCGUAGCCGAACUGGGAGGGUGGUCGGCCACACUGGGACUGAGACACCGGCCAGACUCCUACGGGAGGCAGCAGUAGGGAAUCUUGCGCAAUGGACGAAAGUCUGACGGAGCAACGCCGCGUGAGUGAUGAAGGCUUUCGGGUCGUAAAACUCUGUUGUUAGGGAAGAACAAGUGCUAGUUGAAUAAGCUGGCACCUUGACGGUACCUAACCAGAAAGCCACGGCUAACUACGUGCCAGCCGCCGCAGUAA
rnacentral:rRNA from 1 species